UGGGGUGUCGCCAAGUGGUAAGGCACCGGUUUUUGGUAUCGGCAUUCCCAGGUUCGAAUCCUGGCGCCCCAGCCA
rnacentral:tRNA from 1 species